rnacentral:rRNA from 1 species
UACGUAGGCAGCGAGCGUUGUUCGGAAUUACUGGGCGUAAAGAGUGUGUAGGCGGUGUUCCAAGUCUGGUGUGAAAUCUCCCGGCUUAACUGGGAGGGUGCGCCGGAAACUGGAAUGCUCGAGGGUGGGAGAGGUAAGCGGAAUUCCUGGUGUAGCGGUGAAAUGCGUAGAUAUCAGGAAGAACACCUGUGGCUAAGGCGGCUCUCUAGUACGGUACUGACGCUGAGACGCGAAAGCGUGGGGAGCGAACAGG